CUUUUCAUUUCAUUUGCGAAAUAUACACCACGAAGCCCAGAAGGCUAAAGGAAGAAAAGCAAAACCACAAGAACCAAACAAAACAACAAAAGAGAAAAUGUAUGCAUGGAAAGAUGGGAGGCCAAAAAGAGCCCUAGGGAAGCUCUGCUCCUUCCGACCUCGAAUUAUCUGCUUCACUCCUCAUCAAGGACUGUCUCAGAUUUUCAACUUCUUCUUCUAGCUCUCUCUUUUUCAACAGCAUGUCCUUGGACACCCGACGAAGUCACUGGCUUUCAUUCUCCACCUCUCGAUGCCUCUUUCUCAGGACCUCGGAUUCUGCCUCCGC
rnacentral:lncRNA from 1 species